rnacentral:rRNA from 1 species
GACGAACGCUGGCGGCGUGCUUAACACAUGCAAGUCGAGCGGUAAGGCCCUUUCGGGGGUACACGAGCGGCGAACGGGUGAGUAACACGUGGGUGACCUGCCCUCAGCUCUGGGAUAAGCCUGGGAAACCGGGUCUAAUACCGGAUAUGACUCCAUGACGCAUGGUUGUGGGGUGGAAGCCUUGUGCGGCUGAGGAGUGGGCCCGCGGCCUAGUCAGCUUGUUGGUGGGGUGAUGGCCUACCAAGGCGACGACGGGUAGCCGGCCUGAGA